rnacentral:rRNA from 1 species
UACGUAGGGGGCAAACGUUGUCCGGAUUUACUGGGUGUAAAGGGUGCUCAGGCGGUCUUGUAAGUUAGAAGUGAAAUCCUAGGGCUCAACUCUGGAACUGCUUUUAAUACUGCAAGGCUUGAAUAUGGAAGAGGAGGGUGGAAUUUCUGGUGUAGCAGUGAAAUGCGUAGAUAUCAGAAAGAACACCAGUGGCGAAGGCGGCCCUCUGGUCCAUUAUUGACGCUAAGGCACGAAAGCGUGGGGAGCAAACAGG